rnacentral:rRNA from 1 species
GAUGAACGCUGGCGGCGUGCCUAAUACAUGCCAGUCGAGCGAACAGACGAGGAGCUUGCUCCUCUGACGUUAGCGGCGGACGGGUGAGUAACACGUGGAUGACCUACCUAUAAGACUGGGAUAACUUCGGGAAACCGGAGCUAAUACCGGAUAAUAUAUUGAACCGCAUGGUUCAAUAGUGAAAGACGGUUUUGCUGUCACUUAUAGAUGGAUCCGCGCCGCAUUAGCUAGUUGGUAAGGUAACGGCUUACCAAGGCAACGAUGCGUAGCCGACCUGAGAGGGUGAUCGGCCACACUGGAACUGAGACACGGUCCAGACUCCUACGGGAGGCAGCAGUAGGGAAUCUUCCGCAAUGGGCGAAAGCCUGACGGAGCAACGCCGCGUGAGUGAUGAAGGUCUUCGGAUCGUAAAACUCUGUUAUUAGGGAAGAACAAAUGUGUAAGUAACUAUGCACGUCUUGACGGUACCUAAUCAGAAAGCCACGGCUAACUACGUG